rnacentral:lncRNA from 1 species
AGGUCUGAGGGAUCCAUCUCCACUCUGAAGUUCCAGCGCACACAGCAGGGGGACUUGGCUGUGUAUCUCUGUGCCAGCAGCUCCGGGGAGCUGUUUUUUGGAGAAGGCUCUAGGCUGACCGUACUGGAGGACCUGAAAAACGUGUUCCCACCCAAGGUCGCUGUGUUUGAGCCAUCAGAAGCAGAGAUCUCCCACACCCAAAAGGCCACACUGGUG